rnacentral:rRNA from 1 species
GACGAACGCUGGCGGCGUGCUUAACACAUGCAAGUCGAACGGAAAGGCCCUGCUUUUGUGGGGUGCUCGAGUGGCGAACGGGUGAGUAACACGUGAGUAACCUGCCCUUGACUUCGGGAUAACUUCAGGAAACUGGGGCUAAUACCGGAUAGGAGCUCCUGCUGCAUGGUGGGGGUUGGAAAGUUUCGGCGGUUGGGGAUGGACUCGCGGCUUAUCAGCUUGUUGGUGGGGUAGUGGCUUACCAAGGCUUUGACGGGUAGCCGGCCUGAGAGGGUGACCGGCCACAUUGGGACUGAGAUACGGCCCAGACUCCUACGGGAGGCAGCAGUGGGGAAUAUUGCACAAUGGGCGGAAGCCUGAUGCAGCAACGCCGCGUGCGGGAUGACGGCCUUCGGGUUGUAAACCGCUUUCGCCUGUGAGGAAGCGUGAGUGACGGUAAUGGGUAAAGAAGCACCGGCUAACUACGUG